rnacentral:rRNA from 1 species
AUUACCGCGGCUGCUGGCACAGAGUUAGCCGGUGCUUAUUCUGUCGGUAACGUCAAAACAGCAAAGUAUUAAUUUACUGCUCUUCCUCCCAACUUAAAGUGCUUUACAAUCCGAAGACCUUCUUCACACACGCGGCAUGGCUGGAUCAGGCUUUCGCCCAUUGUCCAAUAUUCCCCACUGCUGCCUCCCGUAGGAGUCUGGACCGUGUCUCAGUUCCAGUGUGACUGAUCAUCCUCUCAGACCAGUUACGGAUCGUCGCCUUGGUGAGCCAUUACCUCACCAACUAGCUAAUCCGACCUAGGCUCAUCUGAUAGCGCAAGGCCCGAAGGUCCCCUGCUUUCUCCCGUAGGACGUAUGCGGUAUUAGCGUUCCUUUCGAAACGUUGUCCCCCACUACCAGGCAGAUUCCUAGGCAUUACUCACCCGUUCGCCACUGAUCCCACAGAGCAAGCUCCGUGUUCACCGUUCGACUUGCAUGUGUUAAGCACGCCGCCAGCGUUCAUCCUGAGCCAGGAUCAAACUCU